AUUGAACGCUGGCGGCAGGCCUAACACAUGCAAGUCGAGCGGACGAAGGGGGCUUGCUCUUGUAUUCAGCUGCGGACGGGUGGGUAAUUCCUACGAAUCUGCCUGACCGUUGGGGCUAACGUCCGGUCACGGGCGCUAAUCUCGCAUACGUCCUGAUUGUGAACGUGGUGGUUCUUCGGACCUCGCGCUAUUAGCUGAGCCUUGGUCGGAUUAGCUAGUUGGUUAGGUAAGGGCCUACCAAGGCGACGAUCCAUAGCUGAUCUGAGAGGCUGAUCAGCCACACUGGAACUGAGACACGGUCCAGACUCCUACGGGAGGCAGCAGUGGGGAAUAUUGCACAAUGGGCGAAAGCCUGACGGAGCAACGCCGCGUGAGUGAUGAAGGUCUUCGGAUCGUAAAACUCUGUUAUUAGGGAAGAACAUAUGUGUAAGUAACUGUGCACAUCUUGACGGUACCUAAUCAGAAAGCCACGGCUAACUACGUG
rnacentral:rRNA from 1 species